UACGUAGGCAGCAAACGUUGUUCGGAAUUACUGGGCGUAAAGAGUGUGUAGGCGGUUCUGUAAGAUUGGUGUGAAAUCUCCCGGCUUAACUGGGAGGGUGCGCCGAUAACUGCAGGGCUUGAGUAUUGGAGAGGAGAGCGGAAUUCCUGGUGUAGCGGUGAAAUGCGUAGAGAUCGGUAGGAACACCAGUGGCGAAGGCGGUCUCCUGGGGCAUUCUUGACGCUGAGGCGCGAAAGCUGGGGGAGCGAACGGG
rnacentral:rRNA from 1 species